ensembl:lncRNA
UUUUCAUAUAACAGGAAACAUAACUCAGACAGGAAGCACAAAUACAACAGCGUAAAAAAAACAGCUUCUUGAAGAACUUUGUAAUUAACAAACAUGUCCUCUACUCUGAGUCUUAGAGUUUUUACAUCUAGUAGAAUGCCUUCAGUAUGGAUGGUGCUUCUUCAUUUUCAUAUAAGCAAUGCUGUUGCAGAGACGAUCAGAGUAUUUGGACGUAAAGGAGACUCCAUAAUCCUUGACCCUGGAAAAAAUAACGUGUGGAAUCAAAGGCAAUCAAUACCUGGAUUUGACAUGAGAUGGAAACAUUCAGAUAUGUAUAUUGUUAAAUAUUCCAAAGUACUGCCUAAUUUCGCUGAAAGGUAUAAGAUAUUUCCAAAUGGUACACUGAUGAUUAGCCAAGGACAUGAGACAGGCCGGGAAAAUUAUACAGUGGAACAAUAUAAUGGUAAUGGAGGUCUGAUAUCCCAGCGGAACAUUGAGCUCUGUGUGCUAGAACCAGUCACCAAACCAAAGGUGAGAUACUUUUGUUCUCAUAACGGAACGAUUAUUCUGAACUGCUCUGUUGAUAAAGGAGACCAGGUGGUGAUCAACUGGAUUGUGCAGGAUUUCUUGUCUAAUAACAUCCUGAGCACAGAUCCUGUCAUAUUUAUGGGCGACCAAAUGCCUGGAAAUCUGUCCUGUGUGGCAAAGAAUGAAAUAAGUAAAGAAUGCAUCAGCCCAGAUGUUCAUAGAUGCAGAGGUUACUAUUCAACUGUAACUGCAUUUGGACUCCUGGCAUUUGCCCUAUUGAUGCUCGUGGUGACCAUUCUGGAUUUGAAAAAGUGGUGCAAGAAGACAAAACCAGCAGGUGUGGAGGAGAACAACUAUGCGGAGAUGCACGGGGAUUUACUCAAUCAGCGACACGAGGAGCCCACGACCAACCCAGACCAAAAGAUCUCCCACUACAGUGUGGAGGAGGACCACUAUGUUGAGAUGAAAGGAGAUUUAUUCAUUCAGCAACAGGAGGAAGCCACAGCCGACCCAGACCAAGGCAUCUCCCAAAACGGUAACACACACAGCAAAAAAUCUAUCUCAAAAUACUUGUUGCUUUGGGGCAAUCCAUUCCGUGUAAAUGUUUAGGGUUUUAGUCUGGUUGUCAGUAUAAGCACUUUCAACAACUGCUAAUAUAAAAAGGGAUUUGCAAAAAGUGUUCGAUUCCCUGAUUAAAUGACACUAUACAUUGCGAACUUCCUCAAGUGAUGCAAAUAGGAAUGUUUUCUCUAUUUCACUAGUAGAAACUGGACAGCCAUAUUUCCAGGAUGUAAGCAAACCUCUAUAUUCGGAUUCAUAGCGAUUUCAUUGCAAUUUUCAGAGAUCAGAAGUGCCAUUGUUUCACAAUUUUAAAAAGACUGCCUAGCUAGUGAGCCCUCUAGAAUCUGUAAAAACUAUGGCAACAAUUUUGGCCACCUUUAAGGGUGAGAACACGAUGUGCAAAAUAUCUAAAAUACUGCUGUGGUUCAUAAAUAUAAAUAUGAACACUCACAUAAAUAGAUGGGUGACAAAUUAAAGACAAAAACAACAUGAUGUGUCUCAUUAAGGUGUUGGGCCCCCAAGAGCUGCCAAAAUAGUUUCAACAUGCAUUGGCAUAAAUCCCACAAGUCUCCAGAACUUUACUGGAGGGAUGGAACACCAUUCUUCCUAAAGAUAUUGCCUCAUUUGGUGUUUUGAUGAUGGUGGUGGAGAGCUCUGUCUAACACUUAGAGCCUUUCUUCUUGCCACCUUGAUCCGAAAUCUAGGUCAACUAGGUCUGCCUAGAUUUUUCAUACAUGCCACAAAGCAUGACAGGUUGUUAAUUGCUUAACAGUUUUAGAUGAGAUUCAACUUUAUUGUCAUUGAACAGUACAAGCACAUUACAACAAAAUGCAGUUAGCAUCUAACCAGGAGUGCAAAUAGAAGAGGGCAGAAAUGUACAAGUAUUAAGUAUAAUGAAUUAUACAAGUGGGAUGUAUAGAUGUGCAACAAAGGCAAAUGCAAGUACAAAUGACAAUUCUAAAUAUGCAACGAAGGCAAAUAGAAGGUAGCAUGUGCAACUGAAAUGCAGGGAUAUCAGCAAUGAGGUCCCAGAGGAAGACAUGUAUAUGUAACAACUUAAAACAUCCUUAUCAGACUUUGUAAAGCAGUGUCAGAGUCCAGUAGUACAAGGAGAGUAGUGCAAAAAGAUCCCUGAGAGGCAGUACUAGCGGUGGGUGGGUAUGGUUCGUGAUGGGUCACAGAGUUCAGCAGGGUUACAGUAGAUGGAAAGAAACUGCUGGUGUGAGAACGAAGAGACCUGUACCGUCUGCCUGAUGGUUGGAGGGCAAAUAUGGAGUUAGAUGUGUCUCAAUAUUCGUAAAUAUAUCUAGAAAAUCUGUGCGUAUAGUUAUCACAACUCACAAAUAAAAA